UGGGGGUUCGUCUAACGGCAGGACAGCAGACUCUGGAUCUGUUUGUGGAGGUUCGAAUCCUUCACCCCCAGCCU
rnacentral:tRNA from 1 species